rnacentral:snRNA from 1 species
GUGCCACUUCAGCAGCACAUAUACUGAGAUUGGAACAAUCCAGAGAAGACAGGCAUGGCUCCUGCACAAGGAUGACACUCACAUUUGUGAAAUGUUCUAUAUAGAG